rnacentral:lncRNA from 1 species
CUUUCUUUGGGUAUAGCAGUUGUGGGUUGCAAAUUCAGUCUCUGUCAUAAUUAAAUAUUAAGUCAAUUAAUACCAUCACUAACUUUCUGCAAGCAUACAACAAAGAAAAGACAGAAAAAAAUUUAGAAAACAAUAAAGUAUUCUAGCAAAAGAGGCAUGAAAAAUAGGAAUAAAAUGUGAAGUCCUCUCUCCCUAACAAUAAAGAAAGACAGAAUUUGCAUUUACAGUGGAACUAUGAGGGCCUCCCUUAAUAAAGAAUUCACAAAAAACAAGUAACUCCAAAAAUGCGCGACAUGCAAGUGAUUUAAAGGACCCAUUUCUUUAUUACCAAACAAAAAGUAACCAAAUUUAUAUAGAACUAUCUAGGUAACAACAGAAAAUGUAAACAAUGCAAAAAUAAGAAACCGUAAACCACUUUUAAUAAAUUAUUCGAAACCCUAGAAUCCAAACCCAAUACCAGCUAGAACAUUCAACAAAAUAGCAUAACAAAUCGACUAAAAACACAAAAAAGCGAACAAUUUCAUGAAGAAGGAUGGUACCUUUGAACUCGUCCGAUCCUAAAUCGCCAAACUUCAUGCGCAAACCUUCUACCGCCAAACUUCAGUAAAGAACUCGGACUUAGAAAAGAGAGACAAAACUAGUGCUGACCGGAUAAAAUGAGAAGGAUUUUAAUUUAAGUGGGUUUUUAUUUAAUUGGGUAUUGGGUUAUUGAAAUAGGUGGGUCGGGUAGUUCAUUGUGAGAUGGGUAUUUAAGUUAGGUCUGAAAAUUGCACAGGCAUUGAACAUGUGUCCCCUCUAUUAAUGAAAGGGCAAAAAUAUUCAACUGUGACGGUAGGAAGUCAAAAGUACCAAUAGUAUAACGGAGCCUUUCUAAAUACUAUAUUCAAUAGUGCAGUGCUAUAUUUGACCCCUUUUCCGUAUUUGCGAUUUGUUUAUUAUAUUUUGAGUCCCUGGAUAGGUAUGUAUAUUGAUUUUGGACUUGUUGUGUACCACACAGGGGCUGCCUUGGGUUUUAGGCGUGCGUCGUGUUGGAAAAAAAUAAUAAUCUCCUCCAGAAAUCAUAUUCAUGGUAAAUAACAAUAAUAUAAGAGAGUAACAACGAUAAUAAAUAUUUUAUCGGGAUAAAAUAUAAUACCCGAGUGGAGCAAUAUAACCACUAUAAUAUUACAACUUAGUAGUGUCAAGAGACUACUACAACUUCGAAGAGAAAUAACACUCUUUAUUUUAGAUACCUCACUACAAUAUUACUCACACUCACUAUUUAUCU